GACGAACGCUGGCGGCGUGCUUAACACAUGCAAGUCGAACGAGUUCCAAUGUGUAGCAAUACACAGGAAGAUCUAGUGGCGAACGGGUGAGGAACACGUGAGAAACGUACCCCAGACUUUGGGAUAACAGUCCGAAAGGACUGCUAAUACCAAAUAACGUCGGAAGUCCGCAUGGACAUCUGACGAAAGGGAUUCCGGUUUGGGAGCGUCUCGCGGACCUAUCAGCUAGUUGGAGGGGUAACGGCCCACCAAGGCAACGACGGGUAGCUGGUCUGAGAGGAUGGUCAGCCACACUGGGACUGAGACACGGCCCAGACUCCUACGGGAGGCAGCAGUGGGGAAUCUUGCGCAAUGGGCGAAAGCCUGACGCAGCAACGCCGCGUGCGGGAAGAAGGCUUUCGGGCUGUAAACCGCUUUCAGUAGGAACGAAACUGACGGUACCUACAGAAGAAGGAGCGGCCAACUAUGUG
rnacentral:rRNA from 1 species